CCUACGGGAGGCAGCAGUGAGGAAUAUUGGUCAAUGGACGAGAGUCUGAACCAGCCAAGUAGCGUGAAGGAUUACUGCCCUAUGGGUUGUAAACUUCUUUUAUAUGGGAAUAAAACGUUCCACGUGUGGGAUUUUGUAUGUACCAUAUGAAUAAGGAUCGGCUAACUCCGUGCCAGCAGCCGCGGUAAUACGGAGGAUCCGAGCGUUAUCCGGAUUUAUUGGGUUUAACGGGAGCGUAGGUGGAUUGUUAAGUCAGUUGUGAAAGUUUGCGGCUCAACCGUAAAAUUGCAGUUGAAACUGGCAGUCUUGAGUACAGUAGAGGUGGGCGGAAUUCGUGGUGUAGCGGUGAAAUGCUUAGAUAUCACGAAGAACUCCGAUUGCGAAGGCAGUUCACUGGACUGCAACUGACACUGAGGCUCGAAAGUGUGGGUAUCAAACAGGAUUAGAUACCCUUGUAGUC
rnacentral:rRNA from 1 species